rnacentral:rRNA from 1 species
GCAAUCGGAAGUGGUUCCAAGAAAAGCCUCUAAGCUUCAGUCAUACGAGACCGUACCGCAAACCGACACAGGUGGGCAGGUAGAGCAUACCAAGGUGGACGAGAGAACCUCCGUCAAGGAACUCGGCAAAUUAGCCCCGUAACUUCGGGAGAAGGGGUGCU